GACGAACGCUGGCGGCAGGCCUAACACAUGCAAGUCGAGCGCGCCCUCCGGGGUGAGCGGCGGACGGGGGGGUAACACGUGGGAACGUGCCCUUGUCUACGGUAUAGCCUCGGGAAACAGAGAGUAAUAACGCAUACGCUCUUAGGGGGAAGGAUCUCUCGGAACAGGAUCGGGCCGGGUUGGAUUAGGUGGUUGGUGGGGGAAUGGCCGACCAAGAGGACGUUGCAUAGCUGGUGGGGUAGGAUGACCAGCUAGGCUGGGACUGAGACACGGACCAGACUCCUACGGAAAGCAGCAGUGGGGAAUCUUAGGCAAGGAGGGCAACCCUGAUCUAGCCAUGCCGCGUGAGUGAUGAAGGCCUUAGGGUUGUAAAGCUCUUUCAGCUGAGAAGAUAGUGACGGUACCAGCAGAAGAAGCACCGGCUAACUCCGUG
rnacentral:rRNA from 1 species